ACACUUCAACUCUCAUAGCUUGCUGUGAUGAGCUUGGACUUUGGGGGUCUUGCUGGCCUGUGGUCAGCUCCUCUCAAAUGAAUUAGCUUUCCAGUGUUUGGUGGCAUCACGGGUGUGAUAACUAUCUACGCUUGUGGUUUCCAUCAGAUAACCUUUGGGUUCGCUGGAGCUCAUAGAUGUCUCCUCAGUGAGGACAGCUCUUUGAAC
rnacentral:misc_RNA from 1 species